rnacentral:rRNA from 1 species
GAUCAUGGCUCAGGAUGAACGCUAGCUACAGGCUUAACACAUGCAAGUCGAGGGGCAGCAUGGUCUUAGCUUGCUAAGGUCCGAUGGCGACCGGCGCACGGGUGAGUAACACGUAUCCAACCUGCCGUCUACUCGUUGGACAGCCUUCUGAAAGGAAGAUUAAUACAAGAUGGCAUCAUGAGUCCACAUGUUCACAUAGAUUAAAGGUAUUCCGGUAGACGAUGGGGA